rnacentral:rRNA from 1 species
UACGGGGGGGGCAAGCGUUGUUCGGAAUUACUGGGCGUAAAGGGCUCGUAGGCGGCCAACUAAGUCAGACGUGAAAUCCCUCGGCUUAACCGGGGAACUGCGUCUGAUACUGGAUGGCUUGAGAUUGGGAGAGGGAUGCGGAAUUCCAGGUGUAGCGGUGAAAUGCGUAGAUAUCUGGAGGAACACCGGUGGCGAAGGCGGCAUCCUGGACCAACACUGACGCUGAGACGCGAAAGCGUGGGGAGCGAACAGG